CUGGCACCUGGGCACCACUCAGCCCCUGCUCACUGUCAUGACUGUCUUGGAGGUAGUAUUUUUCCACUAGAAAAAUAUUUCUCUGAUUCUUUUCAGCUCACAUUUUGGACCGUACAAAAUGGAAGAUCUUCUCUUUGACAAGCACUUUAAUAACAAAAUAAAGGAGUCUCUCCAUUGCCACCCAGCACAGUGGAUGCAGGAACAAUCCUGAUUUAAAGAUGAGAAGUAAUUACAACACAACUGUAAGAGCUGAAAGUACUGGUGAGAACAAUGUAUACAAUCCAUCAACACUCCAGUGGCAGCCUCAGGCCAGCUCUCAUGUCUCCAGGUGCAACAGCUGAAUGUUGACACUACCCAGUUCUUUUCAAGUCUGUUACAGAACAGACCUGAAAUGUAUUUUUGCUUGAACA
rnacentral:lncRNA from 1 species